UCGUGCGUUUUUCUCUGUCUAUAAAUCUUUCAUUCUGAGAUUUAACCACCGUGCGGCCAAAUGAACGUCGCCGAGGCGCACCCGGCGAACUUCUCCGCUGCGGCUAAAUCUCCCUUUGGCUGAGCCACCACCUUGGAUUUGGUUACGGCGCCGUGCCCUGUUGGCCAUUAGCGCGGCUGACGAGAUGUUUGACCUUAUUUCGGCUAUUGAAGAGCUGAGUGGGAUCCCCCCUAAAGAGAUUACCAAGUUGCUGAAAGAGACCGACACUUUCACCAUACAGUUCAAUGAUUCAAGAGGGUGCUCUAGACAAAUUGAUCUAGAGGGUCUAGCAUCUUCUCUACCAUUGCACAUUAUUGCAGUACUAUUGUCAAAUGGUCGUGGUGAGAAUUUUUUGCAUUUGCUUCAUGGAAUUCGCCUUCUGUAUAGCUUUUCUGACCUCGCAACUCGUCACUCCAGACUCGAGCAGAUUCUUCUUGACGAUGUAAAACUAUGUGAACAAGUGAUGGAUUUGGUGAUUUUCAUGCUGAUUGUUCUUGCUCAAUGUGAUCAGGACAAUCAUGUUGGAAGUUCCCUACCUGUUAUACAUGCUGCACUUGUUGCUUGCAGUUUCCAUCUCUUAACAGGUUAUAUCUCAUCACAAUGGCAAGAUGUUGCUAAUGUUAUGCUUGCUCAUCCUAAGGUUGAUAUAUUCAUGGAUGUAGCGUUUGAUUCUGUGCAAGAGACAUUCAGGCUAUUACGUAUGAAGUUAUCUAUGCUAAAUCAUAAUGUCUUGUGCAACUCUUUGAGUAUUUCUAUUGCUGAAAGGACUGCCAGUUUUAUCUUCCAGCAAUGUGAGGUGUCAUUACAAUAUCUUCUUUUCCUUUGCCAGCAAAAAGUGUUCCGAGAUCGCUUGCUUAAAAAUAAGGAGCUGUGUAAAAAUGGGGGUAUUCUCUCUCUUACUUGUACCAUACUGAAGUUAACUACUCCAGACUGUUUUAAGGAGUCCCUUGAUGUUUUGGCUGCUAUCUCUAGAUUGAAAUCAAGAAUACUAUCCAUUUUACUGCAACUCUGCGAAGCUGAAAAUUUCUCUUAUCUUGACGAGGUUGCUGGUAGCCAAAAGUGCUUGCAUCUGGCAAAAUCAAUAACCAUUCAGAUACUUGAUAUUCUGAAGGUUGGGUUCAAGAGAGAAGCCAUAGAAGUCAGUGAUUCUGUUGGCAGGAGAUAUCCGAAGGGCUUCUUACUACUUAAUUCACUGCGUUUAGCUGAUAUCUUUUCCGAUGAUUCCAAUUUUCGGUCUUUUUUUAUGGCAAAUGCCAUACAUGUUCUUAAUGAACUUUUGGCGGUUCCUCACCAAGUAUUUCUAUCCAAUUGGUGUACUGUUGAUGCUCAUCUGUCUGAAGAAGAUGGUAAUCUAGAGUAUGAUCCAUUUAUUGCUGCUAGUUUGGCAUUGGUUCUUCAGAGUGGUAGUCCAGAGAGCAUUCUAUCAUCAGUUUCUCAACCAAGUGAAAUAAACUUCUCGUUCCAUAGUAACUUUAAUGGUUUUCACUUGGUUACUUACGGACAGCAGAGAACAUCUUAUUUGAUCAAAAUAGUGGCAAAUCUUCACUGUUUUGUACCUAGUUUUUGUGAAGAAGAAGAACGAAAUUUAUUUCUCAAAAAGUUUCAUGAGAGCUUGCUUAUGGAGACCACUGACUCAUUGUUGCAUCCGGUGGAUGUUAACACCCAUAAAGCUGCUACAAUUUGUGAAAACUUAAGUUCCUUGUCAAAUUAUGGAGCAUCUUUGAUUCCCAACAUGCUGAAUGAUGAAGAUGUACAACUUUUGAGGGUUUUCACUGAACAACUAAAGAAACUAACUUUACCAAAUAGUGACAACCGUGCUCAGGAAACAAUACAAACUGAAGGUGGGAAAAUGCAAGUUGAUGGUAACAAUCCAAUGCAGCAAUCUUUGCCUACUUGGGUAAAAUUUGCAAAUGAAAAUUUGAAUAAAAAUCAUCAGGACGCUCAGAAUGGUGUAGGCAGGCCUUAUCUGCUUGUCAAAGCUGAUCCCAAGGUCCAUGAUGAUGUUUCGGACAUAAAAGGAAAUAAUAUUGACAUAAAAGGAGGGACACCACUCAGCUCAUCAAGCCUGGAGUUGGAGCCUCUCUUGGGUACAGAGGUUGCAAAAGAAACUGGUUUUCAAGAAGAGGAGAAAGCUGAAGGCGUUCAUGGUGAAGAGAAGCAGCCAAGAAAGAGAAAACGUAAUAUCAUGAAUGAAAGACAGAUAUCUCUAAUUGAGAACGCACUCCUUGUAGAGCCUGAGAUGCAGCGGAAUGCAGCUAUGUUACAGUCAUGGGCAGAAAAGCUUUGUUCACAGGGAUCAGAGAUUACAGCUUCUCAGCUAAAGAAUUGGCUAAACAACAGGAAAGCUAGGCUUGCCCGUGCUGCCCGUGAAGCUAGAGCCCCUUCUGAAGGGGAGAACACCUAUGACAGUGCAGGGGAAGAACCCCACACAUCUGGAACCAUCCGAGGAGCUGGACAUCAACCUGAUACUCAUUUUGAGAGCCGUUUAUCAGAACCACGGCUGAGCUUUGUUGUCGUGGGACUACCAAGAGAAGGCGGCCUCGUAGGGGAGGGUGCACCAGGCGAAAAUGAAGGGACGAGAGAAGAGCCCGAGGGUCUGCACGGACCUUGAUGAGGCCUCUGAGCUCGGAUAACGCUGCAAUGGUGCAGCACUGCUCGUGCCUUCACGCCUAAAUUGCGGGCCGCAGAAUCUACAGAAGAUUUGAACAACAGAAAGCACAAACAGUAAAGCAGCCUGCUUAAAAGGAUUAAAUGAUAUCUAGAAGCAUACCACAAGUGUCUGCAUUUCCAGCGAGUCUUCUUUCUGUUUCAAUGGAUGAUAUAGACAAAUCUUGCAAGUCAAUACUUCUGAGAAUUGAAGAUGCAUAACUGGAACAAAAGAGCUUAGUUUGGCAGCACACAGAUACAGACAAAGUUAUCGAUACUUACAAUUCAAGCAGAUCAAUGCUAAAUGGAGGACUAACAUGCCGGAAGAAGUUUGCUAUUUACAAAUCAACCAUGUCCGUCCAUCCAUUUUGCAGAAAUUUAAAAAUAUAUAACCUGAAGUUUGAUUCCACAUACAGAGAAGAUUCAAUGAACUUCAUAGUUUCACAGAUUAAAAGAACUUCAUUGUGUUGUAAAAUAUAAGAUUAGUAGGGAUGCUGUGUUCAUUAAACUUUAGAUGUUAAAUUAAUACAUAAAGCACAAGAAAAGCUAUUUGCUGCUUAAGGUACAAUGCAGCUCGAGGUCGAGCAACUAAGCCGAGAA